rnacentral:misc_RNA from 1 species
AAGUCGUAACAAGGUCUCCGUUGGUGAACCAGCGGAGGGAUCAUUACUGGACUCGAAAGACUCCUAUAACCCCUGUGAAUCUACUGAAAAGCACGUUGCUUCGGCGGGUGCUCCGGGUCUCCCGGGGCGCCGAGCCCGCCGGCAGCCUACAAUUCUGUCUCUUUGCGUUGGCAUCUCGAGCAUACACAAAUAAGUUAAAACUUUCAACAACGGAUCUCUUGGUUCUG